rnacentral:rRNA from 1 species
UACGUAGGUGGCAAGCGUUAUCCGGAAUUAUUGGGCGUAAAGCGCGCGCAGGCGGUUUUUUAAGUCUGAUGUGAAAGCCCACGGCUCAACCGUGGAGGGUCAUUGGAAACUGGGGAACUUGAGUGCAGAAGAGAAAAGCGGAAUUCCACGUGUAGCGGUGAAAUGCGUAGAGAUGUGGAGGAACACCAGUGGCGAAGGCGGCUUUUUGGUCUGUAACUGACGCUGAGGCGCGAAAGCGUGGGGAGCGAACAGG